CAUAUUAUACUAUUGUUUAUGAAUAUCGAUUUUGCAGCCUAUAAAAGAGUGUAUACCUCACAUCGUUUCAUGAUUUCCUUUUAUAUCACACACGAAGAUUUCAAAGAAUUCAGUUCAGAACACUGUGGAGUUUUGCCUUUAAAAAAAAUGGCUCUAGCAACAGCAGCAAUAACAGCCGCCAUCAAAGCUGGAGAAAGGGCUCUUGAUGACACCCGCGAAUACCAUUACGAAAAUGAAGCCAUAAUCGCGUGGUGGAACGAUUGGAAGGCAAGAGAUCAGAGGGCUCACAUCGAGAAGACGUACAAUCAUGGAAGAUUCUCGAGAGAGAGGCGAACCCUUGGAAUUGUCAAUGGGAGAUGGUAUUGCUGCUUUACCCAGGCAGGUCUGCUCUCAAAGGGUUGGCCUUUGGAUUAAACAUCCCCAACUGCAGUGCCAGACUGAACAAUUUUUGAGUAAUUCAUCACUUUUUUGAGCAAAGUAAAAUUGUAAUAUAAUAAUAAUCAUAAUGUUUAUUUUUUGUGUAAGUACUUGUAAAACAUAAUUAAAACUAACCGAAGACCGAACCAGCUGAUGACAUUUUGAGAGACACAAUACCAGGAAAGAUAAUGUAAAGUCAUUACCAUCUUUAGACUUGCAAUGGAAUUCGUGGUAAGGCAUUGGAGUGAUUCAGAAGUUAUUUGACAAGUAGGACUCAAUUGAUCUACUUCGAUGGUAAUCCGAUUAGGCUUUUAUGGGGUGUCGGGUUUCCAAAGGGUCUAUACUUGGGACCUCUGUUGUUCAUCAUACAAGCGACUUCGUGAAGUGUUCACAGUUAUUAUCUUUUAUUCUUUUUGCAGAUGACUCGAGUAUAUAUUACAUUACAUUAAAAUCAAAAUGUGUUUUGUAAUGCCGUCAACAAUAACUCCUUAAAUAAUUGAUUGGAUCCAUGUAAAUCGACUCCAUCAUAAUCUUGGAAAAAAAACCCAAUUAUAUGCUUUUUUAGUAACACUAUCUCUGAAUUACAGACACCUGUAAAUUUGACAAUUGUGUUAUUGUCAAAUUUCUAGGCAUACACAUCGAUGACAGAUUUGCAUGAAACCCAAAACCUGUGUAAAACUAUUGUAAGUCGGUUAAUAUCAGUACUAUACACAAACUAAACAAACAUUUGUACCAGGUAUUAUUUUAGGAUUCAUUUAUGAUUCACUUAUUUUACCAUAUUUAAAAUAAAAUUUUCUUAUUUAGAUGCCGGUGUCUCAAGAAUUUCUCAAAACAGUUCUUUUGCUCAAAAAGCGAGCUGUUCGAUCUAUUUCAAUAUGUGUAGACUAGCGCACUUAACACCAUUAUUUUACCAAUAAACAAUUAUUAAAAUAUCUGACCUCAUUGACUUUAACAGAGGUAUAUCUAUGUUUUAGUUAAAAACUGAGAGGAUACCUACUCUUUUUAAGACACCCUUUUCAUUGAACAGUAAUUGAAAAACUUGUAUUCAACUCGUCAGGCUUCAUCAUUUCAUCUCCCCUCUAAGUAACAAAUUAUCUCUGAAAAACAUAUUUCUUGAAGGUUUGCAUGAUGGCGAGUAUCAAUAAACAUACAACAAACUUUCGGUACACCAUGUGUAAAUAAAAUAAAAGAAUAUGUUUUUUUAAAUUUUUUUUAUUAAGGUAAAACCACUGGUUGGUUAUCUCUGUCCACGAAAACCAUUUUUUGCUGGUUUUAAAUGUUUUAAAAUAUCUUACUCUAUCGCAAUAUACUGCUGUGUAGAAUAAAUGAAUGAAUGUAAAAUGUAUAAUUAAAUGAAUUUAUUUAAGAUAGCACGGUACCCAAUACAAGUUAAACUUACUUGGACUUCCGUAUUUGCAUUGGUAGAAAUUUUACGUUGGCGAUGACCAUCUACUGUAAUAUAUUGAUGCAAAUGCAAUAAACUGAUUGAUUGAUUGACUAAUUGACCAGCACAAGUUUGUGUUCGUCAAAAAGAAAAAAAAAUGUUUGUCUCCAGAAAAUAAAAACAACGUAGAUAUUUAAAAUGUUAUCAAUCUUACGCUGUAUGGUGGAAUUUGAUGUAUUGAACAAUAUAAACCGAUUGCAUAUUA